rnacentral:rRNA from 1 species
CCUACGGGAGGCAGCAGUGAGGAAUAUUGGUCAAUGGACGAGAGUCUGAACCAGCCAAGUAGCGUGAAGGAUGACUGCCCUAUGGGUUGUACACUUCUUUUAUAAAGGAAUAAAACGAGGCACGUGUGCCUUUUUGCAUGUACUUUAUGAAUAAGGAUCGGCUAACUCCGUGCCAGCAGCCGCGGUAAUACGGAGGAUCCGAGCGUUAUCCGGAUUUAUUGGGUUUAAAGGGAGCGUAGAUGGGUUGUUAAGUCAGUUGUGAAAGUUUGCGGCUCAACCGUAAAAUUGCAAUUGAUACUGGCAGUCUUGAGUACAGUUGAGGUAGGCGGAAUUCGUGGUGUAGCGGUGAAAUGCUUAGAUAUCACGAAGAACCCCGAUUGCGAAGGCAGCAUACUAAACUGUGACUGACAUUGAUGCUCGAAAGUGUGGGUAUCAAACAGGAUUAGAUACCCUUGUAGUC